GACGAACGCUGGCGGCGUGCUUAACACAUGCAAGUCGAACGCUGAAGCUCAGCUUUUGUUGGGUGGAUGAGUGGCGAACGGGUGAGUAACACGUGAGUAACCUGCCCCCUUCUUUGGGAUAACGCCCGGAAACGGGUGCUAAUACUGGAUAUUCACUGGUCUUCGCAUGGGGGUUGGUGGAAAGGGUUUUUCUGGUGGGGGAUGGGCUCGCGGCCUAUCAGCUUGUUGGUGGGGUGAUGGCCUACCAAGGCUUUGACGGGUAGCCGGCCUGAGAGGGUGACCGGUCACAUUGGGACUGAGAUACGGCCCAGACUCCGACGGGAGGCAGCAGUGGGGAAUAUGGCACAAUGGGCGCAAGCCUGAUGCAGCGACGCCGCGUGAGGGAUGGAGGCCGUCGGGUUGUGAACCUCUUUCGCUCAUGGUCAAGCCGCAACAAUGGUUGUGGUGAGGGUAGUGGGUAAAGAAGCGCCGGCUAACUACGUG
rnacentral:rRNA from 1 species